rnacentral:rRNA from 1 species
AUUUGCAAUGAUCCAAAUGAUCCAAAUAAUCCAUAACUAGUCAUUUGGUCAUUUUAUGGUCAAAAACGGGCUUAUUUAUGAGGCAUUGAUGGCAAACGACCUGCAAUGAUCCAAAUAAUCAAAAUGACCCAUGAUUAGUCAUUUGGUCAAAAACGGGCUUAUUUCUGAGGCAUCAAUAGUAAGACCCUGCAAUGAUCCAAAUGACCCAUGACUAGUCAUUCGAUUAUUUUAUGGUCAAAAACGGGCUUAUUUCUGAGGCAUUGAUGGUAAAUGACCUGCAAUGAUCCAAAUGAUCCAAAUGGCCCAUGACUAAUCAUUUGGUCAUUUUACGGUCAAAAAUGGGCUUAUUUCUGAGGCAUCAAUAGUAAAUAACUUGCAAUGAUCCAAAUGACCCAUAGUUGGUUUCUGAAUCACCGUAAUGAUUAAUAGGGAUAGUUGGGGGCAUUAGUAUUCAAUUGUCAGAGGUGAAAUUUUUGGAUUUAUUGAAGACUAACUUCUGCGAAAGCAUUUGCCAAGAAUGUUUUCAUUAAUCAAGAACGAAAGUUAGGGGAUAGAAGACGAUCAGAUACCGUCAUAGUCUUAACCAUAAACUAUGCCGACUAGGGAUCGGACGAUGUUAAUUUUUCUUGACUCGUUAGGCGCCUUACGGGAAACCAAAGUGUUUGGGUUCCGGGGGGAGUAUGGUCGCAAGGCUGAAACUUAAAGGAAUUGACAGAAGGGCACCACCAGGGGUGGAGCCUGUGGCUUAAUUUGACUCAACACAGGAAAACUCACCAGGUCCAGACAUAGUAAGGAUUGACAGAUUGAAAGCUCUUUCUUGAUUCUAUGGGUAGUGGUGCAUGGCCGUUCUUAGUUGGUGGAGUGAUAUGUCUGGUUAAUUCUGAUAACGAACGAGACCUUAACUUGCUAAAUAGUCAGGCUAUUCUUUUGAAUGGUCGACGACUUCUUAGAGGGACUAUCAGCGUUUAGCCGAUGGAAUUUUGAGGCAAUAACAGAUUUGUGAUGCUCUUAGAUAUUCUGGGCCGCACGCGCGCUACACUGAUGAAGUUAUUGAGUACAUUUCCUUUACCGGAAGGUAUGGGUAAUCUUUUGAAACUUCAUCGUGAUGGGAUAGAGCAUUGAAAUUAUUGCUCUUCAACGAGGAAUUCAUAGUAAGCAUGAGUCAUCAGCUCGUGCUAAUUACGUCCCUGCCCUUUGUACACACCGCCCAUCGCUACUACCGAUUGAAUGGCUUAGUGAGACCCUCAGAUUGAUAAGUUGAAACCUUCAUGGGUAUCUACUUGUUGAGAAGUUGGUCAAACUUGGUCAUUUAGAGGAAGUAAAAGUCGUAACAAGGUUUCUGUAGGUAACCUUGCGGAAG